rnacentral:lncRNA from 1 species
AAAUUGUAACCGAAUAUUAAACUGGAAUAUUAUUAUACAAUUAGCUGAGAUAUUUAAAAAAAUAUAUUAUAUAACUAAUUUGUAUUUUUUUCCUUUAGGGUCAAGAUUCCAAGCGGCGGGUAAGUGAUUUUUUAAAAUUACGUAUAGUUUUCAAAAUUGGUCAUACUCUCAUACUGUCAGAAAUUAUAUAAAACACGGAAUAUUGUAGAAUUAGAAUAAUAUUAAUAGCAAAAUUCAAUAUCAUAAUUUUAAUGUUAAAAGCCUUAUGGAAAUUAUUGUUACAAUUUAUAAUAAGCCUAUAAUAAUUUUAAAAAAUAUAUACAUUUUUAAACUUUUAAAUUUUUCACUUGAUACUUUACACAGUCUUCUUAUUCAUCACCACUAUCAAAAUAUAAAUAUUUACUUAACUAUCAAAUAUAUAUAUAUAUAUAUAUAUAUAUAUAUAUAUAUAUAUCAAACUAUGGUAAAAUAAUAACAUAAUAUGCAUCAAAUAUUUUUUUUAGUAAUAUUUUUGUAAUAUUUUAUUUAUUUUUUCGUUUUUUCCCGGGUUUCCCCAUUUAUUGGGAAAAUUCCUGGACAAAUCAAAAAAUGACCUCCCUUAAGUACUACUCCAGCCAGAUUUCAAGAAAAAGUACUAUUGUCUAUCAUUGUAAAACGGAGACAAAUUGCUGAAGGAAAAGUUAUCCACAGGAAAAAAAAAUCGUAAUAUUUUUUUUUACUAAUACGUAUAAGUCGUACAUUUUCGGUUUUCCCUACUUUUUUUCCCGGUUUUUCCCAACUAUUGAGAAAACUCCUGAGAAAGUAAAAGAAUAAUCUCCCUAAAGUACCAUGUGGAUAACAUUUUCUGAGAGAAAAUAUGUUAUCAGAAAUAUUUUUGUGCUUAAAUGAUUUCUGAUAAUUUCAUGUUCGGCUAAAAUACAGUUCAGCUGUUUUAUAGUCCAUCGUAUAUACGGCCAGUAUAUUUAUAUUGAAUUAAUUAAUUGUACAGAUAAAUAAGCAAAAUCUUCUAUGAGUUGAUAUUCAAAAUUAAAUUUAUUUUUUUUUCUAGUGGGACAGUCUAGUCAUACCGGACAACGUGAGUAAUUUUAUUUUUUUAUUAUUCUAGGCAGUUUUAAAAACUAAAUAGUUAACUAUACAAAACUAUAUACAGAAUGAUUCAUUUAGCGUCCUCCCCCUAACUUUUUUAAGCAGGGAGUGGGCAGAUUCCCCGUCUUGCUCCUCUUUCGGGAGCCCAUUCUCACAUAGUACCUCCACCUAUUAUAAUAGGCGAUAAAUAGAUAAUAUUUAUAAUAGCAGGUGGUAUAGCUUUAAUAUGAUAAGUAGGAGUAAAACAGAGUAUGAGUUUAGAAAAACAGGACAAGACAGCUAAAGUAAAUAAGUGAUUAUAGGCAAGAUUGAGAGUUUUAUAUACUUGGGAUGUUUUGUAUAAAAAAACGAUGGCUUUAAUGAGAAUAUGAACCAUAGGAUUAAGUGUAAUUUAUGUUAUCUUAUUUAAUUAAUAUCUGUAUACAAUCUUUUGCUAACGAAAAGCAGUUCUGAAUAGAUUUUUCUUAUACAUACUUUGUAAUGCAGUAAUUUUUACGAAUUUCGUCAUUAUUUGAUAUUAAAAAGCUUGACUCAAAACUACUAUUUACAUAAUUUCCAUUUUUUUUUUACCAUUUAUAAUAAAUCUCAUAUUAAAUUUAUAAAAAUGUAUAUUCCGUCAAGCAAUAUCAUCUACAUUUAACCAAACAAACACAAUAUUCUUCGGCAAAUGAGUAUAAACUAGCUUCACUUAAUGUGGUUUCAGUUUUUGGAUAUAGAUUCAUCACUAAUUCAUGUAGGUGCCACAAUAUCCGUGUUGUGUUAAAACUUUUAUUUAUGCAUUAAUCUAAUUAAAUUGCUGAAAUUAAAUUCUAACCUUACUAUUUGUAUGACGAAUAAGAAUGUUUUAAACUAUUCGAUUUCUGUAUUACAAUCUUUCUUCAUUAUUAUUCGAAUUUAUAUAAUAUAAAAUGAAAUUUUAGUUCUGGAAUAUAAUUUACAAAGAAAAAUUAAUAAUACUAUUAUCAUUUAACUUGGUACCUAAUAGGUCUGUACGGAACAACUUUGGCGUGAUACUGGGCCUCUUUAGUUAGGAAUUACACUGUAUCAGGUUGCUUAGGGCCGGCCAAUUGACCACGGAGCAUAGGUAUGUUGGUAUUUUGGUAGCCGAGGGAGCACAAGUUUUUAAAUCAUGAGACGGUUUUUUUUUUUAGACAUUUAUUUUUUAUGUAAAAAACUUCGCGAUGAUAUUUUUUAAUUAUGAUCAAAAAGUAUAACCAUUGGUAAAACAAUUAAAAUACAUUUAAAAAGAAAUUAAAAACACAUAUAUAAUAUAGUAUAUUGUUGAAAAAAAUAAAGUGUUUAUAAAUCCAUUCUUCUCGCAUAUAGUUUUAAUACUUUAAAAGACUCAAUAAUAUCAUCUAAGUUUAUACUUCUUUGCAAUUCUUGCUCGAUACUGAUGGUUUUAAAGAAAAAAAAGUAUAUUGUUUUUAAAAAAACGUGAUACAGAUAUCGCAUUGUCUCGGAACUUUUUGUGGUCGAAUCUGCAUCACACCAUGUCACAUGACUGAUUCACCGUUAAGUGUAAAACAUGUUUUGUUAAAAUUAGUUUGGCACUGGCAAUAACAAAGUGCACGAUGGUUAACAUUUAGUAUAAAUCCAUCAUCGAAAACAGAAUAUUAUUUAGACUAAUAGUCUUAUGGUCGAUUUUAAUAAUCUACUUUUACUAUAAAAAAAAAAUCAUUAUAAUAAUUAAUAAUAAUAAAAUUAAUUGAUAAUAAUUAUUAAAUCAAUAAUAUAUUACAUUUUAAUAGUUUAUAAUUUUACGCAUUAUUAAUAUUCUUUUUUUAAACUUCAGAACAAGAUCAAGCAGGACCUAUAUGUAAGUUUUUUGUUUUAUUAUACAAUGUAGUUAUCAUAAGAAAACCUACAGAGUAAGAGUCUAGAGAGUAGCCAAUUUGAUAAUAUUUUUUUAUUAGUUACAAUGUUAUAAGCAUACAAUUAGUUUAUCAAUAAUAUAGUGAUCCCUUAUAAGAAAUAAUGAAAAUAAGACGACUUCUCUCUUAUAAACUAUAUUAUUUUAUUUAUAAACACUUUAUGUUAUUCAGAAAUAUGGUAUAAUGAUAUUAAUUCUGUUCUUUUUUUUUUUCUUAUAAUUUUUAAUAUUGGUCAUACUUAAGAUGUUUAUAAUGCGAUUGUUAGGUAUGAUUAACAUUGGCAUUCAUUUAAAAGAGGAAUGUUAAAAACAAUAACGACAAACUGAGCUAUAAGUUUUGUUGAUUUUCUAAAACUUUAUUGUUCUUAGGCUCUAUUAAUAAUUAAGAUAUCGUUUCAAAUUUAUAUUUUAAUAGCAAAAAUUGUUUUGAAUAAAUGUUGAAAUCUGUUGAAACGGUAGUCCAGUAGUCCCUAAAUAUUAAAUAACAUAUUCAUAUUCAUAUAUCUAUUACCCACUUUCAAUAACAUUUAGAUAUAUUUUAUUUUUUGGUGCAAUUUGAUGAAAAUAAAAACUUAGGUUAAAUUGAAUCCCAAAAAUUACUUUUCCAAAAAAAAAAUUACACUUUACUACUUUCAUAAAUGUUUUGGCAUAAAAUACGUUUUGAAUGGAAAAUUGUUAACUAGCUGGGUGCUAAAAGGACAUUUUCAUGGAAAUAACAUUUUUAUACAUUUUUUUUUUUUUUUUUUUUGGAUUUAGCAACCUGUGUAAUAUUCAAUUGUGAUAAAAAUUUUAGUUUGACAUUUUAAAAAUAUAAUGCAAGAAAAGCGUUUACGAAAUUGUGUAUAUAAAUAAUUUUUUGCAUAGAAUCAUGUAUUAUAUUCGUUAUAUAUUUGUUAAUAAUAUUGUUUUAAGUGAAUUUCAUUAUUUAAAUCAUUUUUUAAAUAACAUUACGAUUGAUAACUUUUUAUUUUUCGUUGUAGAUUAUUUUGAUAAUACACGUUUCUAUUUUAUUAGAAACUUUAUUUAGAAUUAGAGCACCCAGUUUGCGCAUGUACGUUUAAAUAUUUGCACGCUGUCGGAUCGCCUAAACCCUCACCACCAAACUGGUAAUCGCCGCACGAUUUAAGAUAUACUGGUUCUCCAAUGGGCUAUGAAAUUGUGAAUACAAUAUUACUCGGAUGAUAAAACAAUUUUGUAGAGCUCGUAGACAGCAGUGGAAUAUUUAUAUAGGCUGUCCCACGAAGAUAUACCCCAUCAGUUUUAACACCUAGUCUGUAAACUAUGUUAUAUCGCUAUAGCAAUUCAUAAAAUAUGAUUGUGAAUGUGAAAAUUUUAUUUAUUAGUGAUUACAAUUUACGAUUAGAUUAAUGACUAAAACUUCAGUCACAACUAACAAACUAAAGUACAAAAUUAAUAUAAUACAUAUAUAUAUAUAUAUAUAUAUAUAUGUAUAUUAAACGUAUAAACACAAAAAAUAGUCUCACCUUUAAGUUUUGAUAAUAAGCCAAUAUACUCCGAUACUUAAAUUAACGGCACAAAAUAGGUUAAUAUAUAAAUAUAAUAAGAUUAACCGAUUUCACAUUUACUGUAACAUAUACAAUUGUUAUGUGAACGUAUAACAUACGACUAUCUAGUGGCUAAUAAAUUUAGUAAAUUAACUCUGCGUGAAUUGAUAAAAAAUAGUUUAAGUUAUAUUUUUUCAGGUACUAUUAAAAUAAUACAAUAGAGUAUAGUGAAUUAAAAAAUAUCAUAUCAUUUAUUAUACAGAACACAUACAAAUUUUAAAUUACACUUUUGGAAUCUGUAUACAUAUUAUGUUAUAAAAAAAAUUAAAAUAAUUAUAAUAACAAUUAACAAUAACAUAAUUUUGAAUUAAAACUAUUGAAAUAAAACCAAUAGUAUAGUCAACAAAAAACUUUUAUAAAUUAAUAAAUUAUAAUGUAAAACCUUGUUAUCGUUAACACUGGUUAAAUACGCUGCAGAUAAAAAAUGUAAUAUAUUAUCAUAUAUUUUUAAUUGAGCGUAUAGGUAGUUAUAUUACAUGCAGUAAUUUUUUUGGAUAACUUUAGUGUUGGAAAAGUAAUCAUGGAAAUAAUAGUCACAAUUACGUUUAUCAAACUAUUCAAACUAUAGGUACCUUAAAGUUGAUCAAACAUUUUUCCUAAAUUAAGUUACAUUACAAAUUUUUCACAAAUCUCACGCUUAUGAACGUGCAACAGAAACGUUGCAUUAAAAUUGGGUAGGUAGAACAUAUGCAAUCGUAAUAAUGAAAAAUAUUCGUACGCAAUCGUAACGCACCCAUUUUCAUAGACAGAGAGCGCACUAAACUAGUUAAUCAGCUGUUCCUGAGAGAAAAUUCAAUUGCCAUGUGAUAACGCUUAUAACAUAGCACGUUGAGCAACCAGUUUAUCAUUAAUCGUGAAUCGUCGACUAUGUGCCGUAUGUGCAUGAAGUCAGGCACGUUUUCGUACUAUCGUUUUUGCCCUAUCGGGUGUGCUCUUAUUUUGAAUAGAGUAUAGUAGUCCCGUGUUCUCGUUGCUUUGUUUUAUGUCGUUAUUUGUGUUUAUUGAAUAACAGUUAUAAAAUAAGUUUCGACACAAUGAGUAUAGAUUCAGAUAUACAAGUUAUACAAUUUCGGUUCUUUAAUCAUUUUAAUUUAAAUGGAUAGGUAAAUAUUUUUUUAAUGCAAUAAGGGCAUUUUCAUGACCAAAUAUCUCAUUUAUUUAGUUUUGUGAUUUCAAAAAAAAAUUAUGUGAAGACAUAAUUAUUCUAUCUUUCAUCUUCCACAAAUUUAAAACCAUGUGAACUACAAUAUUAAAUGAGUAGGUAAUAUAGAAUCUUUAACUUCAUUUAUCUAAAAACCCGUUUUUCGUGACACUUCCUAUAACAGUGGCCUCUCCCAUCCACAGUAUCAGCUAUUAUUUAAUAAUAUUAUUUGUGUAAUUAAUUAAGUUAAAUUUAUCAACAGAUGUAACUUAUUAUUCGACAUUUAAUUUUUGUCAACUUGCUACUGCCUAUAUUUGGUACAUACCUGUUAUAAUAUUAUAUAAGCUGUGCAGAUUGAAUUCUAAUUAAUGAAAAUUAACAGUUAUAAAUCAAAGGAUAUUAGAUGAUAGGCAUGCAUCUAUAAGGAACGUACACACUAUAAGUGG